rnacentral:lncRNA from 1 species
GGGAUUUUUGUCGGAGUUUUUCUAUUUUUGUUGUUUUAGGAUGCAUCCAGUGUCAAAGCAAUGGUAUGAGCAAAACCUCCAUCAUCCAAUGCCAGCUUAAAGAUGCACGAUGUUGGAGUCAUUGCCAUCCAAGCCCGGCAGCCAUCGAACCAUCACUGUGGAGGUGUGCAUCGACCCUUAGCUAAUCCUUUCGAUCUAUACAGUAAACGAGUCGAACACUCCAACAAUUUUGUCGAGCUUGGCGCCUUGGUCAAGCUGAUUCCCAGCAGCAACAAUGUAGUUCAAUUUAUUUGCCAU